UGAAUGCUAACUGCUCGGGAUUGG
rnacentral:piRNA from 1 species